rnacentral:rRNA from 1 species
AUGUUGGAGAGGAGGCCACAGCUAUGGAAACAGAAGCAUCGUGGGAAGGCGUUCAUGGCACUGGUUUCCUUCCCGGUGGUCGUGCUCCUCAGCGGCAGUAGCCGAACAAUGUCGGGCCUAUCGACAUCAGCGCUGAUCCCUCCGGUGGAGGGUAACUUGCCGGUUCGGCACCGGCCGAUCAUCGUCCAACGGAGCGAUAAGCUACUUCAACGUAUCAUCCCGAUGGGCAAGGAAGAGCUGGCCAUGGGAAGGAAUGGCACGGCCCAAUGUAGCAAAAGCAGAGUCCAGACCGUUGCCGAUGUGGUCCGCUCAGAUGUUGACAGGGGUGACAAACAAGUGCAAAUGAAGAAUAUCAUGGAGUCGAAGCCCAUGGCCUCACAAUUCCCUAGUUCUGCUACAAAGCAGGGGAUACCGGAGUUCUUUAAGGAUGAAUCUGUUGAGAGACCUAAGUUUGCUUCUCUCACAACGCCAGGAUCCAUGGACAGGAACAAUUCAGGGCCUAUUGCUGGUAUCUUGCGACAUAUGAUGGGCCAAAAUGUGACAUAUGCUCUUCUUAAUCACACGGAUUAUUUUGAGUUCAUUCCAUUGGAGGAAUUCAACUCGGGGAGCAGUGACUAUGUUAAUUACUCAGAGACAGAGCCCAAUGUGCUUAUUGAAGUUCUAAUAACUACAUUUGCAGCUGGGAUAAUUGUGUGGUUGAUAUCUACAACGAUGAACAUCAAGCCGGUGAUCUCUAGAUGCUUGGGCAAGGAUGUACGCAUUCUGAUUGCUGUUGCUGUUGUGCUCGCGUCUUCCACACAUGUGCGGUCUGCUCCUGAAGAUAUUCCACCUGUCGUGGCCACAGUUUUCGAUGAAAGAGGGGAGUCAUACGAGCCAUUUUUCAAUGUUAUGCACACGUUGCUAGAAGCAAACACAGAAGCUGAUAAGUACGGCCACUAUUUUCUUCCUCAACAGAAGCCAGGACCGCCAGCUUGGUGGAUCAGUGUCGAGGUGAAAGGUGAAGAUAUUGGACGCAGUGCCCUCAUGUAUUUCAGAUCAGAUAAUAUAUACCUCGUUGGAUUUAUGAAUGGAUAUGGCACACUAUACUGCAUGGAUGAUGCAACAGAAAUGUUUCCACAGGGCUGCACCCCGUUGGGUUUCACAGGCAAAUAUCAUGAUCUCACAGGUCGAGAAAACAAAGAAGAUGAUCUUAAUCCAUUUCUGCGAACCGAGCUUUUAGGAAGGACAGCAGCCCAAUAUGCAGCAAAUAUUCUUGUGGAGUACGGGGUUACUAUAAAGGCGCCGGAACUUGCUAAGAGAGCCUUGCUUAUCUACACUCUUAUGAUCCCAGAGGCGCUACGGUUUAAGCCCAUCGGGAAUCAAAUCAAGCAAAGUUGGUUACACCCAAUGACCCUAACACCGGAGCAAUCCAACAUUGUCUUCGCAUGGCAGGAUAUGUCUGAAUUAUUUUGUCGUGGGGAUGACAUAACCGAUCAAACUCCAGUAUGGACUAAAGGAGCCAAAAGGCUCGCCAAUGCUAACAUAGAAAAUCGACAGGAUAUUAUCAAUACUCUUGAUUUUGUGAAAUACAAGAAGCACUGCAAGAAGUUCAGGAAGGAAAUUCCAUAG